UACGAAGGUGGCAAGCGUUGUUCGGAUUUACUGGGCGUACAGGGAGCGUAGGCGGUUGGAUAAGCCCUCCGUGAAAUCUCCAGGCUUAACCUGGAAAGUGCAGAGGGGACUGUUCAGCUAGAGGAUGGGAGAGGAGCGCGGAAUUCCCGGUGUAGCGGUGAAAUGCGUAGAGAUCGGGAGGAAGGCCGGUGGCGAAGGCGACGCUCUGGAACAUUUCUGACGCUGAGGCUCGAAAGCGUGGGGAGCAAACAGG
rnacentral:rRNA from 1 species